rnacentral:rRNA from 2 species
UACGAAGGGGGCUAGCGUUGUUCGGAAUUACUGGGCGUAAAGCGCACGUAGGCGGAUUUUUAAGUCAGGGGUGAAAUCCCGAGGCUCAACCUCGGAACUGCCUUUGAUACUGGAGAUCUUGAGUUCGGAAGAGGUUGGUGGAACAGCUAGUGUAGAGGUGAAAUUCGUAGAUAUUAGCUAGAACACCAGUGGCGAAGGCGGCCAACUGGUCCGAUACUGACGCUGAGGUGCGAAAGCGUGGGGAGCAAACAGG